rnacentral:rRNA from 1 species
GGGGGGAGCAAGCGUUGUUCGGAUUUACUGGGCGUAAAGGGCGCGUAGGCGGCCUCUGCAAGUCAGUUGUGAAAUCUCCGGGCUUAACUCGGAAAGGUCAACUGAUACUGCAGGGCUAGAGUGCAGAAGGGGCAACUGGAAUUCUCGGUGUAGCGGUGAAAUGCGUAGAUAUCGAGAGGAACACCUGCGGCGAAGGCGGGUUGCUGGGCUGACACUGACGCUGAGGCGCGAAAGCCAGGGGAGCGAACGGGAUUAGAUACCCCGGUAGUCCUGGCCUUAAACGAUGAAUGCUUGGUGUCUGGGGUUAUAAAGUCCCCGGGUGCCGUCGCUAACGCUUUAAGCAUUCCGCCUGGGGAGUACGGUCGCAAGACUGAA